rnacentral:rRNA from 1 species
CGGUAAUACCCGAUAAUCCCUCUUGGGCAAAGGCUUGCUGCCCCGGGAUCGGGGAACAUCCUAUCAGGUUGUUGGUGAGGUAACGGCUCACCAAGCCAAAGACGGGUAGCGGGUGUGAGAGCAUGACCCGCCGCAUCGGGACUGAGACACUGCCCGGACUCCUACGGGAGGCUGCAGUAACGAAUAUUCCGCAAUGGACGAAAGUCUGACGGAGCAAUGCCGCGUGCAGGAUGAAGCCCUUCGGGGUGUAAACUGCUGUCAGAGUUUAGGAACACAGACCAGACUCAAAGGAAGGGCCGGCUAACUUCGUGCCAGCAGCCGCGGUAAUACGAAGGGCCCGAGCGUUAAUCGGAAUCACUGGGCUUAAAGCGUACGUAGGCGGACAUGUAGGUACUUUGUGAAAUCCCACCGCUCAACGGUGGAACUGCUAGGUAUACCGCAUGUCUUGAGACAGGUAGGGGUCGUCGGAACAAUAGGUGUAGCGGUGAAAUGCGUAGAUAUCUAUUGGAACGCCAAUGGCGAAGGCAGACAGCUGGGCCGAUUCUGACGCUGAGGAACGAAAGCGUGGGGAGCAAACAGGAUUAGAUACCCUGGUAGUCCACGCCGUAAACGAUGUGCACUAGAUCCUGGAGCCUCUGACGGUAUCGGGAUCGUAGAGAAAUUGAUAAGUGCACCGCCUGGGGAGUACGGCCGCAAGGCUAAAACUCAAAGGAAUUGACGGGGGCUCACACAAGCGGUGGAGCAUGUGGCUUAAUUCGAAGCAACGCGAAGAACCUUAUCCUGGGGGCUUGACAUGCACGGAUUAUUGAUCCGAAAGGUGAUAAACGCUCUCUGAGUGGAACGUGCACAGGUGCUGCAUGGCUGUCGUCAGCUCGUGCUGUGAAGUGUCGGGUUAAGUCCCUUAACGAGCGAAACCCCUAUCCCUAGUUGCCAGCGAGUCAUGUCGGGGUGGGGACUCUAGUGAGACUGCCGGCGUCAAGCCGGAGGAAGGUGGGGAUGACGUCAAGUCCUCAUGGCCUUUAUGCCCUGGGCUGCACACGUGCUACAAUGGUAUCGACAGAGCGAAGCAAAGCGGCGACGUCGAGCAAAUCGCACAAACGAUGCCUCAGUUCGGAUUGUAGUCUGCAACUCGACUACAUGAAGUUGGAAUCGCUAGUAAUCGCGUAUCAGCUACGACGCGGUGAAUAAGUUCCUGAGCCUUGUACA